CUCAUGUGUAACUCUUGAUGUUAUAAACACAACAUCUCACGCCGGUGUUGCAGCAGCCCAGUGCUCAGGGUGAGAAGGAACAGCCCGGGCUCACCCUGCCCAGCAGAACCGUGUGCUGUGGGGCAGCAGCAGGCGCAGCUGUGGCAGAUCCUUGCUGCAAAUGUUACAGGGAUUUCCAGAUGAGAAUUAAUGGACUUUCCUUGGCUAGCAUUGAAGAAAACAUUCUACGUGCGGUUGUUUAUUAUUUCUGUUACAGUCACUGUGCUUGCUUAUUGCUUCCAUCUGUUGGCAUCACACUAUUGGCUCUGGUCUCAUCGCUGGGACAUGAACCCUUGGCAGCAGGGAGCGUGGUGUGGUGAGAGGCAGAGCAGCAGUGCGGGUGCUCGCAGGCUGGGAUGCCUCACAGUCUGUUUCAGAGAGGAACUCCGGUACUUCAUUCCCAGAGGUUGAAUUCGAGAAGAAAUAUGUUUGAUGGCCUGAAGUAUUAAAUGCAUAAAUGGUUACCCUUUAAGUUUUGCAAAGCCAUUUGCUCCAGACCUUCCUAUCUCCAGUUGUUGCCUCAGAAGAUCACUAGCUUUGUUGUAUGGGGUUCUGGAGAAGCCAAUCAACCCAGACUUUUAAGUAUUAAAGAAUACUUAAAUCCUUAUGUGGGCUAAGUUGCUCUACUUACUCUUCCUUGCUUCUUCCCCUCUUCACGGCUGCCAGAUCAGAUCAGAUAGGAUCAAGCAGGCCAGCUGGGACAUCGUGAACCAUCGUUACAGCAAAGCCACUCCGCCCCUGUUCCCCAGGCCACGGCUGUAUCCACUCUCGCUGUCAGGCAGAGCAACUCAGGAUGGAAGGAGCCACAGGAGCGCUGGUGGCCAACAGCUCUGUAAACAAAGCUGCCCAGUGCCACCAGGGACCUGUGCCAUAAUCCUGUGCAGGUGGCCCCAGCUGCACUCUGUGCGCGCAGAAUGGGUUUGCUCUACCUCUGGGCUGGAGGAAACUUCUUUUCGUUGCCCUGGAAACAUGGAGAUGGCAGAUCCGUCGUUCAUUGGCAAGUGGGAGAGGAUGAGAGAAAAGCAGAUGACAGAGAAGCACGUGGAAACAAGAGAGUACAAGUGGUACCCUGGGGUGCCUUGCAGCAGACUUCUACGCCCAUUCUCUCCCUGAUAGCUUCAAAGAUGCUCUGGAAUAAUAAUGCACAAAUAUACGACGUGGUCGUAAGGACUGUGUUCUGACUGUAUUCUGACCCUCCUUUACACCCGUGUGCAUCAGGAGCAGCACAGCAAACAGGCAGCAGCAACAGGCAUUGCAACAAACAGGCGGCAGCGUCAGGCAGCCCUGGCCAGGUCCCCGGUGUUGGUCUGGCACGAACCUGGGAGCUGCUUCAGGUUUACACCAAGGUUUCACCAAAGCCCCAUCAUUGGCGAAGGUCUGACCACAGUGACCUCCUGCACACCUCACACCACUAAAUCUCAGUGCUCUGAGAAGAACCUGAAGGCAUGUGAGAUGUUCAGCUCUCUGCUGUCUUUCAGUGUGCAGACUCACCUUUUCACCCAAGGAAGGAACUGAUGUCACCACCUGGAGAUCUGCAACAUCUCUGGGAGGAUCUGCGUGCCUGUGAUCACAGCAGAGUGCGACUGCAGCAGCCAGAGGCUUCCCAGGAAGAAGAGGGCUUUGGGAUGGGUGGUACCUGGAUUUACUUUCCACAGGACUGCACAGAAACAGGACCUGACCUUAACCGAGAGACAAGCCAGGACCUGGAGCAGCCCCAGCCGCGUGACACAGGCACAGACAUGCCAGCAGCCACCUCCUCACCCUGCCCUGUGCCUCCUAGGCCUCUAAUAAACUACAAAGAGACAUUAAGAAAACAAUAAGAACUCCUUAUCUACUGAGACUGGGGAGCAGGAACAGUGAGCCGGCAAUAAUGGAUUCUGCGUAUCUGCAGUACGUUCCUGUGGCAGCAACUGAACGAGGGGAAUGGGAAGUUCGAGUGCUCAGGACAUGGACUGCCCAGAUCAGUUGGCCAGCAGUGUGUAGACAGCAGGUUUCUGCAGCGACCCACAAAAUGUGUUCUCCCUGCUUGACCCAUCCCACUGCGUUUCUGACUGCACUUGGACAUGGUGAAGAUUGGUAGCAUUGAGCUCAGAUCCCAGUCAAGAAAUUUGAAAUUGGAUUUGAGGGAAAGAAAACAAAAACAAAAUGCAAUCAACAGGGACAGGGAAGAAAAGAGUUGCUGAAGAGUGUGAGCCUCCAGAAGCUGGAAUAGGAAAGAACAGAACCAUUCAAGCAUCCCCUGGUAUGGUGUUCCUUCCUCAAGUCCCUGCAAUUGGUCUGGUCCUGCGUCUCACUAAGCACACCCUUCUUGUGCCAUCUCUCAGGUCGUACUAAAUAACGUCGUGUUCAGAGUCCCUUCUGAACAUCUCCCUGAGUGGUA
ensembl:lncRNA